UACGGGGGGAGCAAGCGUUGUUCGGAAUUACUGGGCGUAAAGCGCGCGCAGGCGGUUUUUUAAGUCAGAGGUGAAAGCCCAGAGCUCAACUCUGGAAUGGCCUUUGAGACUAGAGAACUAGGGUACGGGAGAGGUGAGUGGAAUUCCGAGUGUAGAGGUGAAAUUCGUAGAUAUUCGGAAGAACACCAGUGGCGAAGGCGGCUCACUGGCCCGUUACCGACGCUCAGGCGCGACAGCGUGGGGAGCAAACAGG
rnacentral:rRNA from 1 species